rnacentral:rRNA from 1 species
CGCUGGCGGUGCGCCUUAUGCAUGCAAGUCGAGCGAAGCUUUUCAGUAGUUUACUACAGAAAAUGACUGAGCGGCGAACGGGUGAGUAACGCGUGAGCAAUCUACCUUAGUUACAGGGAUAGCCCGAGGAAACUCGGAUUAAUACCUGAUAUUCUUUAAAUUUCGCAUGAAAUUAAAAGGAAAGGUCAGCCGAACUAAGAUGAGCUCGCGUUCUAUCAGCUAGUUGGUGAGGUAAAAGCUCACCAAGGCUACGACGGAUAGCUGGUCUGAGAGGACGAUCAGCCACACUGGGACUGAGACACGGCCCAGACUCCUACGGGAGGCUGCAGCAGGGAAUAUUGCGCAAUGAGCGAAAGCUUGACGCAGCGACACCGCGUGUGGGAUGACGGAUCUAGGUUUGUAAACCACUUUCAGGAGGGAAGAAAAUGACGGUACCUCCACAAGAAGCCCCGGCCAACUACGUGCCAGCAGCCGCGGUAAUACGUAGGGGGCGAGCGUUGUCCGGAUUUAUUGGGCGUAAAGAGCUCGUAGGCGGUUCAACAAGUCGGUCGUGAAAGUUCAGGGCUCAACCCUGAAAUGUCGAUCGAUACUGUUGUGACUAGGAUACGGUAGAGGUGAGUGGAAUUCCGAGUGUAGCGGUGAAAUGCGUAGAUAUUCGGAGGAACACCAAUUGCGAAGGCAGCUCACUGGGCCGCUAUCGACGCUGAGGAGCGAAAGCUAGGGGAGCAAACAGGAUUAGAUACCCUGGUAGUCCUAGCUGUAAACGAUGGAUACUAGACGUAGGAACUGGAUUGACGGUUUCUGUGUCGCAGCUAACGCGUUAAGUAUCCCGCC